UCCCCACCAUGAACGUGUGUUCUGGUUCAGUGGAAGGACCUUAAAUGCACAGACAAGGACACAGCAGUAAAGGAUGAUGUGGCCGAACCCCCCGGUUCCACGGCGAGCAGACCCCAGGAGACCUUUGCUCCAGAUGACCUCCAAGGCCACCCAGGAUGUGACAACCCUAGAGCCAGGGAGCCAGCAAGACCCCUCCGGGCCCAGGUUCCCGGCCCAGCAUCCCAGCUCUGGCCCAAAGCCAGCUUCCAGUUGUAUCGUGACCUUCUGAACCUCAGUUGUCUUGCCUGUAAAAUGGAAAUGAAGGGGAUGGUUAGCACUCCCACUGGAUCAAAUAAGCUGCACCUCAUACAUAAUGAGGAAACAGAGACCCGGAGAGAUACAGUCCUUGGCCAGUCAGCCAAGUUGGAGCAUAGCUUGGACUUUGAACCCAGUCUCCCAGCUCCCAGUCUGCCUGCAGCCCUGUCCCUCUCCACCCCCAAGCCCUGACCAGAAUUCUCUUCUGUACAUCCAGAAGGGCUUUCCCAUUCCUCAGACUCUCUGAGGCAAUUACAGUCCCUACCACUCAUGUGGCCCUUAAUCAUUUACUGCCCUUGCAAACAGCCUGUGGUCAAAAGCAAUAAAGUUCGGACUUGGACAGAUCAGACCUCGUGUGGCUGUUGUUUGUGCACACGGCCCACCUCCUUUACUGACUGGAAGAGCUCAGAGGGCAAGAACCAGGUGGCUAGAGGUUUCCGUGUUCUCCCUGCCCUGCUGCC
rnacentral:lncRNA from 10 species